GAAAAAAGCAAUAUCCAAAAGAGAAGAAAAAGGAAAAAAAGCAACAUCCACUUGCUAACUUGGAGUUGUUGCUCUUGAUGCACAUACAAUUGAGUGCUUGGAAAACAAUUUUGCUGCUCGCAAGAAGAAGACACAACCGCUACUGCAUGCAAGGCUUGUGAAGACAAAGCCUCUACGAUGGAUUGUGUGGGUAAAAUCCUGAGUCGACAAGAUAAAGAUGGAUGCUAUACAAAAGAGAAAAAGAAAGCAUAUGAAACAAUGAAACCAAAGAGAACAUCAAAGGAGGAGAUACUUCGUCUAAUGGAAGAAAAGAAAGAACUAAAAGAAGUGGUUGUCAAUGAUGAAUAGGGAGCUAUUCUAAGCAGGAUGGAAUCUGAACGCUUGAUUGAAGACACAGCUUGAUACUCAACA